GGAGCUGUAGCUCAGUUGGUAGAGUGUUUGGCUCCCAUACACAAGGCCCUAGGUUCAAAUCCCAGCUAUA
rnacentral:tRNA from 1 species